rnacentral:rRNA from 1 species
GAUGAACGCUGGCGGCGUGCCUAAUACAUGCAAGUCGAGCGAAUGGAUUAAGAGCUUGCUCUUAUGAAGUUAGCGGCGGACGGGUGAGUAACACGUGGGUAACCUGCCCAUAAGACUGGGAUAACUCCGGGAAACCGGGGCUAAUACCGGAUAACAUUUUGAACCGCAUGGUUCGAAAUUGAAAGGCGGCUUCGGCUGUCACUUAUGGAUGGACCCGCGUCGCAUUAGCUAGUUGGUGAGGUAACGGCUCACCAAGGCAACGAUGCGUAGCCGACCUGAGAGGGUGAUCGGCCACGCUGGGACUGAGACACGGCCCAGACUCCUACGGGAGGCAGCAGUAGGGAAUCUUCCGCAAUGGACGAAAGUCUGACGGAGCAACGCCGCGUGAGUGAUGAAGGCUUUCGGGUCGUAAAACUCUGUUGUUAGGGAAGAGCAAGUGCUAGUUGAAUAAGCUGGCACCUUGACGGUACCUAACCAGAAAGCCACGGCUAACUACGUGCCAGCAGCCGCGGUAA